UACGGGGGGGGCAAGCGUUGUUCGGAAUUACUGGGCGUAAAGCGUGCGUAGCCGGUUAUUUAAGUCGGAUGUGAAAGCCCCGGGCUCAACCUGGGAAUUGCAUUCGAGACUGAAUAGCUAGGGUGCGGUAGAGGGAAGCGGAAUUUCCGGUGUAGCGGUGAAAUGCGUAGAUAUCGGAAGGAACAUCAGUGGCGAAAGCGGCUUCCUGGACCAGCACCGACGUUCAGGCACGAAAGCGUGGGGAGCAAACAGG
rnacentral:rRNA from 1 species